GACAGAGGAUGCAAGCGUUAUCCGGAAUGAUUGGGCGUAAAGCGUCUGUAGGUGGCUUUUUAAGUCCGCCGUCAAAUCCCAGGGCUCAACCCUGGACAGGCGGUGGAAACUACCAAGCUGGAGUACGGUAGGGGCAGAGGGAAUUUCCGGUGGAGCGGUGAAAUGCAUAGAUAUCGGGAAGAACACCAACGGCGAAAGCACUCCGCUGGGCUGAUACUGACACUGACAGACGAAAGCUAGGGUAGCGAAAGGG
rnacentral:rRNA from 1 species